AUGUAACCCCAUCACGAAGUCCAUUGUGAUAUGUUCCUACUUCCACUUCGGGAUUAGUAAUGGCUAAAGUAGUCCGUCUGGGCGUUGAUACUCUACCUUAAUCUGUCGACAUACCAGACACUUGGAAACAAUAUCGGCUAUCUCUCUUUUCAUCUUGCUCCACCAAAAUCGGAAUUGUAUACUUUGAUAUAUUUUAGUACUUAUGGGAUGUAUGACGAACUUUAAGCUAUGAGCCUCUGUCAUAAUUUCAUUUUCAGUUCACUGUCAUAUGGAACAUACAACCUGUCCUGAAACCUGAGCAACCCAUUAGCAGAGACUCGAAAUUCUAAAUUUACUCCCUAUUUUACAUCCUUUUGAGAGCUGC
rnacentral:lncRNA from 1 species